rnacentral:lncRNA from 1 species
GUGGGCACCGUGCGCUGCUCGAGCUUGCAGGAAAGCCUGUCUCUCCGAGUGUGGCUGGGGAGGGGGCUGGGUUUCUUUUUGUUUCUAGAAGUCCCCUUCACCCUCGUUUGCCCCCGCGUACCGCCGAGAGGAUCGCGUGGAAUGGCUGCAGGGCUCCAGGGCGCACCCCACCCCACGCACGCCCUCUGGGGCGCCAGAAGGCGCGGCCCCGGGGGGAUCCCUGUUCCCAGGAGGAAGCGCGCAAACAUUUUACAGACUGGGCCUUCCGUCUCACCAGUCCCAACUUUGAGCUUCCGCACCCCCACUUCCUAAGUGGGAUCUUAGGCGUGAAGCAGAAGAUGUGGCCCAGAUUAAAGGUGGAUCUUCACCCUCAAAGAUCCAGAUUAGAACUCCUGGCUGGUGACAUGUGGAUGACACUCUAUAACUAUCAGAUGGUCCCACAAAUACCAACAUUGCUGCUCCAUCUGAAUCAAAUCCUCCAUACCCACAAGGGUUGUUUGUCCUCUUUUCUGCCUGAUGUCACAGCUGGGAUACCUUGAUGUCACAAAGUGGAAGAUGAAGAGGCAUAGUCUAACAUGUGGAAGAAAAUGUGAUGCUGGGGUCCAGUUUUUCUUGAGUGGUUGUGCAUUUCUAUCUGCUUUUCUUAGCUCUGUUCAUUUCCCUGCUCCAGUAUUCACUUGCUGUUGCCAGGGACCCAUGAGCCUCGGAGUUGAAGUCAAGAUAGCUCCCUGGCUCUGGAUUUUGCAGUAAUGAAUGCACCCACCAAGGUAAUAAUAAACUCGCAGUCUCAUUA